GUGGUGGAAUUCGGGAACUCACCAGCACACAUAUUAAAAUAGGAAUGAUGCAGAGAAGAUUAGCAUGGCCUCUGCACAAGGAUGACACACAAAUUUAUACAGCAUUCCAUAUUUUU
rnacentral:snRNA from 1 species